AUUGAACGCUGGCGGCAGGCCUAACACAUGCAAGUCGAGCGGAAGCAGGGAGCUUGCUGCUGGAUGCAGCGGCGGACGGGUGAGGAAUGCCAAGGAAUCGGCAUGGUAGGGGGGGAUAACGUUCACUAACGGGCGCUAAAACCGCAUACGUCCUGAGGGAGAGAGUGGGGGAUCUUCGGACCUGACGCUAGCAGAUGAGCCGAGGUCGGAUUAGCUAGUUGGUGGGGUAAAGGCCUACCAAGGCGACGAUCCGUAACUGGUCUGAGAGGAUGAUCAGUCACACUGGAACUGAGACACGGUCCAGACUCCUACGGGAGGCAGCAGUGGGGAAUAUUGGACAAUGGGCGCAAGCCUGAUCCAGCCAUGCCGCGUGUCUGAAGAAGGUCUUCGGAUUGUAAAGCACUUUAAGUUGGGAGGAAGGGCAGUAAGCUAAUACCUUGCUGUUUUGACGUUACCAACAGAAUAAGCACCGGCUAACUUCGUG
rnacentral:rRNA from 1 species